rnacentral:rRNA from 1 species
GCAUGGGGAUUUAUGGAAAGCUUUUGCGGUUGGGGAUGGGCCCGCGGCCUAUCAGCUUGUUGGUGGGGUAAUGGCCUACCAAGGCGACGACGGGUAGCCGACCUGAGAGGGUGAUCGGCCACACUGGGACUGAGACACGGCCCAGACUCCUACGGGAGGCAGCAGUGGGGAAUAUUGCACAAUGGGCGCAAGCCUGAUGCAGCGACGCCGCGUGAGGGAUGACGGCCUUCGGGUUGUAAACCUCUUUCAGCUCCGACGAAGCGCAAGUGACGGUAGGAGCAGAAGAAGCACCGGCCAACUACGUGCCAGCAGCCGCGGUAAUACGUAGGGUGCAAGCGUUGUCCGGAAUUACUGGGCGUAAAGAGCUCGUAGGCGGUUUGUCGCGUCGUCUGUGAAAUUCUGCAGCUUAACUGCAGGCGUGCAGGCGAUACGGGCAGACUUGAGUACUAUAGGGGAGACUGGAAUUCCUGGUGUAGCGGUGAAAUGCGCAGAUAUCAGGAGGAACACCGGUGGCGAAGGCGGGUCUCUGGGUAGUAACUGACGCUGAGGAGCGAAAGCGUGGGUAGCGAACAGGAUUAGAUACCCUGGUAGUCCACGCCGUAAACGGUGGGUACUAGGUGUGGGUUUCAUUUCACGGAAUCCGUGCCGUAGCU